rnacentral:piRNA from 1 species
UAUAGAAUUCCCCUGGUGCAUGCUUUC